CCAGGCAGGAGUGUAUUGGGGUGGUAUUGCAUUUGCACAGGCUGGUAUUGGGGUGGUUCAGGCUGGUAUUGCAUUGGCACAGGCUGGUAUUGGCUUGGCACAGUAUUGAGCUGGUAUUGGUUUGGCACCUUUGUCGAAUUGAGCUGCACUGGGUGGUAUUGGGUUGAUACAGGCUGGCACUGGGUGGUAUUGGGUUGGUACAAGAUGGCACUGGGUGUUAAUGGGCUGGUACAGGCACUGGGUAGUGGUUGCUAUUGGGUUGGUACAGGGUGGUAUUGGGUUGGUACUGGGUGGCACUGGCUUGGUAUUGGGUUGGCACUUGGUUGGUGUAACCGCAGGUGGUUCCCUUAUUUACAACUAUAAUGUCUUAAAGCAUAGAAUUUAGUAGGGCUAACCAUACAGAUAUCUUAGCCAUAAUUUUAUAUAGUUAGUAAGAGAUCCUCUAUUUAACAUAUAUAAAUAAUUGAGAAUACAAUAUAAAAUAAGGAUUGUCU